CUUGCCUCUAUUUUAUUCUCCUGAUUCAUCACCUUUCCUUCCACAAGCCUUGUGUAUGCACAGUACAAGCCCCUUUUGCUUCUGACUGCUGGGCUAAUUUUUUCAGCAAUUUGCACGUGUGAGAAGUACAUCUUGCGGCUGUAUAUGGGUAGACGAUGUCAAAGACGAAUUGUCACUGUGGCACAAGGAAACAAAUAACCUGUGCCAUGAUCAUGGAUGAAA